CUGUAAGAUUAAAGCAGGAAGUGAAGAGAAAAACACCAAAAUAAUCAAAAGGCUUCCUGCCUGAGUUUGACAUUCUUUAGAAGUUAGGUCCAAAUUUAGAUAGAGAGCUGGGCAAUUCGAAGGUGACUUUCCUUAAACAUUUUCUCUAGUUUCUCCUCAAGACAGUGACCUGUAACAUCACCAAGCCAUUCUUGAGCUAUACCUGUGAUUGUCAUGUUAAGAACCACGUGAAGUUUAAGAAAAUUCGAGAUAUGGUUCCUGAUUCUGUCAGAUUCCUUGCCCUGCCCUCAAAGCACCAGCUUUUUUCCAACAAUAGGAUAUUUGCAAAUUCAUGCUUUCUUAGCAGAGAAUGUCUUCCCAUCCUUUUCCCCUUCAAAAUCCAAAUUUAGGGCCUUCCUAAUCCCUACUUACUCUUUAAGGCAUAUGGAGAUUCCCAGGCCAGGGGUCUAAUCCGAGCUGUAGCCGAUGGCCUAUGCCAGAUACACAGCAAUGCUGCAUCCGAGCCACAUCUUCGACCUGCACCACAGCUCAAGGCAACGCCGGAUCCCCAACCCACUGAGCAAGGCCAGGGAUCGAACCCUCAACCUCAUGGCUCCUAGUCGGAUUCAUUAACCACUGAGCCAUGAUGGGAACUCUGCAAAUCCAUUUUAUUUACUGCUCCAUUUAUCUCUUUCCUCUGGAAGUUCCAACUUUGUAUAUAAGGCUGUUGCCACAGAACUUGGGUCUUUAUUAGACAUCCAACUGAAAGAAUGUUGGAGGAUAAAUAAGUGAAUGAAUGAAUGAGUCUUACUGUAUUAGAUAACUGUUGCUGUACAAUAAUACAGUUGUUUAAAAGGCGCUGUUUGUUAUUGCUUGUGCAACUGUAAGUCAGCUGGAGCUUUGCUGAUUAACUCUGAGCUUGGCUGGGGUGAUUCAUUUGGGAUGACUGCCUUUUCCAUGUUCUUCAUUUUCCUCUUGGAACCAGACAUGUGUUCCUCAAGGGCACAGCAGAAGCACAAGAAUGAAAGCAGAAAUGUUGAAAGCCUGUUAAGGCAUACUAUCAUGGCCACCUUAUUCGUUUGACCACAUAGGGCAUCUAAGUCAAGGGACAGGUCAAUAUAUUCUUCUCCUUUAGUCACAUGACAAAAUUACAUAUCAAAGGGUGAAGACACAAGGAGAGAGAGAAAAUCAGUCUCAGUCAUGAAUCCAACCAGUUAAGAAGGAAAUACUGACAACCAUAUCAAGAUAGAAAUAGAAAAUUGGUUGCUUACCAUAAAUACCAUUUGGCCAAACUCCAUAUCAUCUCUUUUAUCCUCAUAUCAGCAAGUCAGGCCAUUACUGACUUAAUGGCCUAUGUGAUCUAUAAAUAUUUACCAAAUUAGAUUGGAUUACAGAUAGCAAAUACAUUAGUCAGAACAUGAAGAAUCUUGAUAUCUUCAUUUUUAUUUUUUUUUAAAUUAAAGACAAUAGAUAUGGAGGGUAGAUGAGUUAGGAAUGCAAAAUGAAAAGCUUUGAACACAAAAUAUUUGUACUUUAUGAAUGAAGACACUUUUACUUAAAUUUACAUACUUCAUGUUGGAAGUUGGUUUAAACAAUGUUCAAGGUCCUAAUAGUAGCUCAUACAAUGACCUUUUCAAUUUUAAAUGAGCUUGGAAUGGGUCAUGUAGGUUUUUCUGGGGCUGCUUCUUCAGAGUUUCUGCUCAGUUCACUGAGAUGGUGUUAAAUCUCCAAUGUCCAGGCGUUGAUUUACCAGGAAGAGUAUAGUUCACUUAAAAGCAGAAAAAGCCCUGGCAAUUAUCAAGCCCUGUGAAUUCCUGGCCCUCUUCCUUGAAGGCCCAGUGGGGCCUACUCAACUGGGCCAACCCCACACCAUGCACACUGGACUGGUGGUCCUCUUAUCAUAGAAAAUUCCACCAGUGCAGCCAAAAAAUACAAAAGGAAGCACACAAGAAAAAAAUGUGAAUAUAAUAUACAGGCCUGUGGAUUGAGUUUUAUGAAAAGAAAAAAAUAAAGGAGGGGAAUUUUUCUUAGCUCUUUUUCUAAGUCCAUUGCAGUAGAAAUAAUGGGACAAGUGGUUUACCAAAAGUAAACAGUUUUACUAUUUUUAAUGACACUGAGAGGAUAGCUUUAAAAUGUCUCUCCUAAUUUUGCCCUAUAAUUGGAUCAUUUAAAUUUGACUCCCUGAUAAAUAGAAUCAUACUUUUUCCCAUGAUUUGCUAUGCUAAAGAGUUUGUAUUUAUUAAAGAUAUGCAGAUCCAGAUAUUCCCACCACAUCUUUCUGGCUUGACUUUAGUUCCUAAUAAAGUGUAAUAUCAGAGCUCUGCCCCAUAGCUAAGAAACAUUAAGUUCCUGGAGGAAACAGGAUUCUUCUGGUUGUUUUUUAAACCCACUAACAUUGCUGAAUCUUGUCCUUCUGGUUUCAGAAAAUAUAAGUAAAAGAUGGGAACAUGCGUUCCUCCUUUGCCCAGUUCUGUCUCCCAGGUUUGUCUAUUUCAGUGUGAAGAGUCAUCCUUAAAUGGACAAACUCCAGUGUUUUAAUUUCUCUCCAUUUUCUGCUGAGAGAACUUUUAAAUAAUCAGCUGAGUGUGUAAAUGUUGAAUCCUGAUACUAUUUGAGCAAAAGAGCUAUGACAGAGUUCUCACAGCCAUCAGUAAAAUUCCUUCUAAUGGGAUUCUGGACCAAGGAAAUGCAAAAAUCCCUAAUAAAUGUCAGGCAGUGCUCAACUUCUAAUCCAUUGCCUACAAAACCUUAGGAAAGAAAUUCAUUUAUUGCUAGGAAUUGCUACCAUCCAAAGUUCUCAUUCAUUCUUUCCUAUUCUAUCAUUUACUUGAAACCUGGGUAAGACACGCCUUGGAGAAGGGGGCAGGGGAGAAAGAACUGCCACAGAUGGGAAACUGAGCUGCUUUACAAAUAUUCACAGCUGCCGCUUUCUGUAGCCAUGCCCCAUGUUCCACUGGACUCUCAAAAGGCAAGUUCAUAAGUUAUUUUGCCAUAAAAGGGAAUCAGCGCUUAAAUCCAGCUUCCCAAAGACCUCGGACACGAAAUUACCACAGCACUCCCUAAGGUCCAGAGCACAGAUUUUGCUCUCCUCCCACAUGCCUAUCCCUAAGAAAAGAGUUUUCCCACUAGAUAAAGUAAUUAAAAGCAUUCUCAGAAUAGAAAACAAUACAUUUGUGGCUUGAACAUGAGCCUAUUUUCAGAAAUACUCAAUUUAUUGCAUAUUUACAGUUUGAUAUUCCAACAGCUGUGAAACUCUCAUAUGAGGAAUUUAAUUGCUUAUAAGAAGAAAUAAAGCAUACAGGAGUAGUUGUGUGUGUGUGAGUGCUUGUGUGUGCCCAUGUUGUUGUUCUGCCUACCUCUGAUUUGUUAACUAACUUCAGGGAGAAUUCCUAAAAGACCUGAUACACCAGCCCAUGUGAAGUCACUGGUUAUCUCUAAAUGGGAACCACGAUUUUUAAAUCCUGUCUAGGUAAAUUACCUUUCCAGUGCAGGGUAUUUCCUUUUAGAAGAUUCCUUGGGAAGGGCCUCUAGGGAACUGACUAACUUUUUAAUGGUUCACUCAGAUUAAGAGGAAGGAAAUGUGAACUCCUCUGGGGGGAGGCACCACUCUAGGCCGUCUGCAUCCUGUAAUUCUUCCCAAGUCCGUGAAUCAUACUUUUAAGACGCCUUUUCAAGGGCAUUUGUCUUCCUUUAAGAGAAGGCCAACGCAGAAAAGACAAGGUUUAAAAUAGGUCUCAAUCAAGCCUUAGCCAUAAAAACAAUUGCCUGAUUCUCCCCCUGUCUAUCUGGAGAAGGUCUCUGAGUGUCCUUUACCUGCACGCCUGCCUCGCUCACCUUGCACAGUACUUGACUUGGGUUGCUUUCAUACUUAUUUUGCUUUCAGAAUUAAGAUGAUUUCUAAUAUCAUCCAAGCAUCUUUAAGCUAUAAUUCUGGAUUGUGUUGUCCAUUGCAACCGGCUUCUGAGACUGAUUUCAUGUAUGCAGUAAAAAUAUAAAGAAAUGAGCUACCAUAAGAAGCCUUUUCCAAGCCCUUUUAGAUAGCAAUCUUACUUUUAAAACCAUGUCUUUAUUUAAUAAAAAUAGUUUUCUGUAGGCAAAUAUAGACUAUGUUUUUACCUUUCCCCAAAAGGUCUGAACACUUUUGAAAAUAGUUUUGGUAGUAGACAGAAGUGAACAAGGUAAAUUUCUGUACAAGAAUGAAGUAACAAUAGCAUAUUUCUAAAAUGCAAUAUCAAUUUCUAAAAGUAAUAUCGAUUGUAUUGAAUCUUUAACUGUAUCACAAUAUCAGUUUGUCAAUGAAUAAAGUAUAUUUGAUUGAUCAUCUACCAAAUGGCAGCUUGUAAUUUUUUUAAGGUACUAACAAGAGUGGAUAUGUUCUAUAAAAAUGCAAAAGGACAAAUGCAAACAACAAGGCAUACCUGUGUGAACCCUAAUGUAAGCCAGAAAUUUUGGAUCAUUAUGAAGUGCCAAUGUAGGCUCAUCAGUUGUGACAAAUAUUCCACUCUGGUGGGGAUUUUGAUAAUAAGAAAGGCUAGGCUUAUGUGGAAAAUCUCUGUAAAUUCCACUCAAUGUUGCUGUGAACCUAAAAAUGCUCUAAAAAAAUGAAAACUUUUUAAAACAUGUCCAAAAGUAAAUUUAAAUUGUAUUUAAAUUAACAGAAUGCUCAGGGUUGGUUUCUACAGAUCUGCAAACAAUCCCUUCUUUGUGAUUCCUUAAUCUGAGUCUCCAGAAAAAUCAGCAUUUAUUUAUGUGUGCUUGUAUGUGUGCGUGUUGGGGGACCUCUAUGGCCACCAUUCCAUAUUGACCUCAAUUCACAUGUAGCAAAAUGUGAUUCAGGCUGAUGUAGAGUAUACGUAGUUUUUAUCCCCAUUUGGAGUGAGUAGUCAUACCCACUGAUGAUGGUGGGUAAUGUAUGGAUAUAUGUGUCAUAUUACUUUUCAAAAUCCUAAGAAUUCUGAAUUAUAAAACACACUUUACCCUAAGCAUUUUGAACGGGAGAUUGUGUACCAAACACGCUGAAUGAUAGAAAAUAGCAAAGGAAGAAAACAACAGAAAGGGAAAUAGUGAAGUUCUAUUUUAUCCCUUCCCUGAUUUCUUGGGAGAUUUGGUUCCUAGGUGUCCAUGUAGAGCCCCAUGAUUAUAAUGGUCACUUUUUAUUGAAAUUUACCAUCAGUAAUAAAGUGCAAAACCCUAGAAACAUAAUUAUGAUUUUUACUCACAUAUAUAUAUCUUAGAGGUUUUAUAUGAAUGCCUAUAGACCAUAUUUUGUUUCUUUAAGUCUAUUGCAAGUGAGUACCCAGAAACAUGUCUUUCUUUCCUCUUAACCACUGGUGACUAUGAUUGCAUGGUUCAUUGCUUUAGAACAAAAGGACAACAAAAAUAUUGGAAAGCCAAGUGUACAUUCAGUUUUAGCAAACUUAGUUUCAAGGAAAUAGUCCAAAUAAUAUCCUCCAGGUUUAAAUUUUUAAAUGUAAGGUUUUUUUAAAAAAACCUUACAUUUAUGCUCCUAUGAAUGUCCCUCAACAUGGUAAGGCCUUAUUAAAAUAAAGAAAUCAAGACACUUAAUUGUGUCAGUUGAAUGUUUCUGAGCCAUACUAUUGACAACAGAUAAAGAUUUAAGUGACUUUAUACCUUUGACUCUGAGAUAAGAUCCUAGAUAAGUAGUCAUUCAAACAUACAGUGUGACUACUUACAUUUAAGUU
rnacentral:lncRNA from 1 species